UGGGGAAUUUUGCACAAUGGGGGAAACCCUGAUGCAGCGACGCCGCGUGAUUUAGAAGGCCUUCGGGUUGUAAAAAUCUUUUCUAUGGGAAGAAAAUGACAGUACCAUAGGAAUAAGGACCGGCUAAUUACGUGCCAGCAGCCGCGGUAAUACGUAAGGUCCGAGCGUUGUCCGGAAUCAUUGGGCGUAAAGGGUACGUAGGCGGGUAAGCAAGUUAGAAGUGAAAUCCUAUAGCUCAACUAUAGUAAGCUUUUAAAACUGCUCAUCUUGAGGUAUGGAAGGGAAAGUGGAAUUCCUAGUGUAGCGGUGAAAUGCGCAGAUAUUAGGAGUAAUACCGGUGGCGAAGGCGACUUUCUGGCCAUAACCUGACGCUGAGGUACGAAAGCGUGGGUAGCAAACAGG
rnacentral:rRNA from 2 species